rnacentral:rRNA from 1 species
UGGGGAUGACGUCAAAUCAUCAUGCCCCUUAUGACCUGGGCUACACACGUGCUACAAUGGGCGGUACAAAGGGUCGCGAACCCGCCGAGGGGGAGGCCAAUCCCAAAAAGACCGCUCUCAGUUCGGAUUGCAGGCUGCAACUCGCCUGCAUGAAGCCGGAAUCGCUAGUAAUCGCGGAUCAGCAUGCCGCGGUGAAUACGUUCCCGGGCCUU